rnacentral:rRNA from 1 species
UACGGGGGGGGCAAGCGUUGUUCGGAAUUACUGGGCGUAAAGGGCUCGUAGGCGGCCAACUAAGUCAGACGUGAAAUCCCCAGGCUCAACCUGGGAACUGCGUCUGAUACUGGAUGGCUUGAAUUCGGGAGAGGGAUGCAGAAUUCCAGGUGUAGCGGUGAGAUGCGUAGAUAUCUGGAGGAAUACCGGUGGCGAAGGCGGCAUCCUGGACCGACAUUGACGCUGAUGAGCGAAAGCUAGGGGAGCAAACGGG